UAUUUCAUUGGGGAUAGAUAGGCUUUGAGGUUGGUUGUGGUCAGAAUAAGAAUGGUCUCCUUAGGGCUGGAGAGAUGGCUCAGCUGUUAAAGGCUGGGCUCACAACCAAAAUAUA
rnacentral:miRNA from 1 species